UCUUUUUUUUUUUUUUUUUGGUUCCUCAGCAAAUUGCUCAAGUGUCGACAUGCCCUCAUGCACAGAAACUAUGGCAUGGCCUUCCCUCCCUCUUGAGACUUGCUUUCAAUUAUCCAGGGAUCUUGGGCCCUCCGUGGUCCAAAGGGCAGCUGUCCUGCUUCCAAAUAUCAGGCGAAGAGAGGAAGCACGGUGAUGAUGGGUGAGUCAUGGCAAAGCUCUGUGUUCGUGGGGUUGGAGUUCCUUUCCUGGUCGCGGUGUUACCAGCCCUGCCCUGCCUGAGGCUCUGCAACCCUUUGAGUUCACAAUCAUGGCUCAGGCCCUGUGGCGGCUGCCUUGGAGGGUGUCCCAGCGUCAGCCACAUACUCUGCCACACGGUCCUCCCUGUGUGCCUGGCUCUGCGUCCUGACCCACUCACCCCCAUGUCUGUUCCACCGUGAGUAGGCUUUCUUCUCUCUGAAUACUGGGGGGAGAUGUGUUCUCAGGACUCGUGUCUUUCAGAAGGUUUUUGUCUUCCCUACGCAAGGUGCUCCAAGCCAUAGGGCCAUGCCCGCCACUGUGUUGAGAGAGGAAAAGCUGCUCCAGGGAACGUGGAGAAUCGCUGGGUGUCUGUCACGUGCCUUGCUGUCUCCCACGCUAUCGAGAACCUGCUGGCGCCAUUCUGUGAACGCGGCCUCCGCACCUCUCUACCAGCGAUCAAGGCGACACGGAUUAUCGCAAUGAAGAGAUGAACUUUUGUUGUCAUCAGAUCAACAAAGGUUGAAAAACUUGGGGGAACAGAUGCUUUCAUGCUUUAUUUGUGGGGGUGAAAAUCGUCACAGCAGGUAUGGACUGCAAUUUGGCGGCAACAAUACAAAACCUUAGCAAAGGGGGCCGUUGGAUUGUUCACUUCUACUCUUUGGGAUUCUCCCUACAGAAAUAAAAGGUCAAGGCCACAAAAACUGAAAAGCAAGGAUGGUCAUUACAGAAAAAGAAAAGAAAAGGAAACAAGAACCAUUAAGGCCUAUCAAUAGGAGGAUGGCCAGAUAAAUCCCGUCAUAUCCAUGGAGUGAGAUCACUUCAACUGUUUGUGUGCCUGUGGUUCCUAAGUGCCAGCCUCCACAGGAAGUUUUAUGGACAUUUACCAUCGAUGUUUCUCAAGACCUCCUGAGAUCAUGUAGAUCACGCAUGGAUGGACAGUGUUGAUGAACCGCAUGACAACUCCACAUCAGAACGUUUACUAUGAGAACCAGAUAUCUACGGCAUUACCAACAACAUGGAACCUGUUGGCAGGUGCGGGAAAAAAAUCAGUUUCCUGCCACUCAUCAGCUUUCCACCGCUCCUGAAAGAAUUACUACACACAUGUGCACACAUGCACGCACACACACACACACACACACACAGACACACACAAAACACCACUUCAUCUUUCCUCCCAGGAAUCAGAAGGCCCAAAGGCCAUGUCCAUUCAUGAACAGACUAGGCCAGGUGACUUGUUAGUUAAUGAUGGAGCUGGGGUUUAAAGCCAGGCCUAUCUCCUGCCAACUCACCAGGGUGAACCCCUGUCAUGUAAACAGCACAAAAUGAUCUGAAGACUCAGAGUUAAAGUGUGGCUAAUGUGAGCUGGAUGUACCCAGGGAGGAAGUGAAAUGUGACUGUGUCAAAACUGUGGAGGGGAUCGCUGGGGAGCCUGUGCUGGGCGAUUGGAAAGAUUAAAAGACCACCUGGGGGGAGAGGUCACCUGGGGGAUCCCCCUAGAUGUUCAUGGUGGCUCAUGAAAUUACUGGGACCUAACAAAGCCUGAGUAAGACUUGUCCAGAGAUUGGCCAUUUAGAAAGCUCAGUGGUCGUGUGGGAAAGAGCCCCAGAUUUAUCUUUGCUUCAUACAAAAUUGCAAGAUUUGAGUUUAAUAUGAAUAGCAACCAGGAGCCAGAUGCACACAAUGGUGGAAAACAUGAGAUUUAGCUUCUUUUUUUGGAGGUAGGCUACAAAUCCUAAACAAUCAUCCAGCCCAAAACACACAAUGCUACACCAAAAAUGUGUGUGCAUGUGUGCAUGAGUGCGUGUGCGCACACACACACACACACACACACACACACACACACACUGUUAGAUCCUGAUGAGGCACUCUUCAACCUGAGAGUUAAAGAAAAAUAAACUCAUUUCAGAGAAAGAAACAGCAAGGAAAAGUGUAUGCCACAAUCCUGGUCCUAAGCAUAAGGAGACCUAAACAAAAUGCUCCCAUAUGUAACCAGAAGCUGGCCUUCACAUCCAUCUGUAACACUAUCUGAAUCAACUAGCCACAUAUUUGGGCCGAAUGACCUUCGGCAAUCAUCAAAAAGCAAAUGUUUUGUGUUUGACAGAAGCAAACACAAAUUAUAUUUUAGAGAAAUAUACCUUCAACAUAAGCCUCAGAUAAUUCUUACACAGGAAACUUUCAUGGAAGAUGAGCUCAUAGCUACCAGUCACAAGCCCUCGAGAAAGGGGAGCACGGUGAGUGAGAGCCAGCAGGAAGACCACAGAGUCAACCCAGCACACUGACAUCCCAUGUAAUCUGAUCUAAUGUAUUAUAUGUGUCUACAUUAAUUAAGUAAUUAAUCAAUCAAUUGAUUAUAUUUAUUAUACAUAAACAUAGGAGGUGACUAAAAACUGUAAGCAAACAAUAAGAAUCCUGAAAAACAUAAAAGCAACCAUGGGAGAAAAAAUAGGAUUUCUGGAAAUAAGAAAUCAAAAGCUAAUGUUAAAAAAAUUGAAUUUAAUUCAAUUUCAAUUGUGACUUACAGAGCUGAAGAGGCAAUUAGUGAAUUAGAAAAUAGAUCUGAAGCAAUAAUACAAAUUUCAGUAAUAGAAAAAAUGAAAUAGAAUAAAGAAAAUUCAAGGGGUAUGAUGAAGAAAGUGUUCUGCAAUUCACCUGCUCAGAACUCUAGAAGAUAAGAGAAAUUCUGAGGAGUUAACUUGUGUGAAUUUUCAAGAUUUGUUGAAAGACACCAGUCCUCAAUUCUAAAAGUCCAAUGUCAGGCAGGAUAGGGUAAAAAAAUCCACAUCAGGACUAAAAAAAAUGAAAUUUCAAAGAAAGAGAAGUUAUUGGAACCCUUAGCAAGAAAGGAAUACCAAAAGACCCGGAGUUACUUCUUAACUGCAAAGAUGGGAAUCAGAAAACAGUGGAGAUUAUUUUUUAUUUGCAGUGAAAACAAAUCAAUAAUCAGCCUAACUGUAUCUUCACUAAAGUUAUGUGUUUUUUUUUUCAAAGCUGAGUGUAAAUGAGAGACAAAAGCUGAACGCAUUUGCUACGACCAGAACUGAAAUAACGAAAUAUGUUGAUUCAUAGAAUUUUAACAAUUAGGCUUAAAAUACUGGAUAAAAAAUAUUACAGAUGCCCAUUGUUUCCAGGCCUUUGUAUCAUGCUGGAGGCUAAAGACAUUGAUUAUCUUCUGACUUCUUUACGAAAACCAUGAAAUGACACUACAACAAUAGAAAUCGGCGUUGUAGAUCACACUUGGUGGAAAUUUAAAUACCAGACUGGAGUCACAAACCUCAAUGCAUUUAAAAGAAUUCAACAAAGAGGAAAGGCAAAACAAGAGCUAUAGCAUAAAUGGUGCUAACUGGAGAGCACAGACGGAGGAGUGUGUCUGUCUCUGUCCUGGCGGUCCUGCGUGAGGGGCCAGGCUGGUGGGAUGCCCUGUCCUCCUCUUCUCUUGGUUGGCAUCACCAGCUCCAAGGGAAAUUCAGCCAUCAGUAUUUCAGAGUCAACAACAACAGUGGGGGCGGGGGUGGAGGGUGGGACUGUGGCUUCCUUUCUGAGGUUAUGACCCAGUCUCCUGGGAGCUGGCUGUGUUCCUCCACUCACCUCCUGAUUUCCUGCGCUCGGUUCCAUUUAGCUGGGACAUUCAGCUCUAUGAGGGAAUGACAGACGGUCCCAUGGGCCAGAGGAAAAAGUGGGAAAGGAUAUUGCAGGCAAUUAGCACUCUCCGCUGUCAUGUUCAGUGUCAACGGACCAAACAUUCUGGUUAAAAUGUAAAUAUUUUAACACAGUAUUUAAAAACAUCUAGCUAAUUGCUGCUUAUUAGAGGCACGUCCAAAUUAUAAGAAUUUAGAAAAUGUGGGCGGUUGAAAAUGUUUCUUCCUGUAAACUGAUAAAUAUAUAUGAACUUAUAAAUAAGCUUACACAUGCACAUAUAUAUGCAUAUGUGUAUGUGUGCAUAUAUAUAUGUUUGCAUUUACGUUAAGUGUCUGCGCACACACUCGUGUUACACAGAUCUCUACAAAAGAAAGCUGGUGUAAUAUUAUUUUCUCAAGCUAAAGAGACUUAAGGGGAGAGACCACUACUAAAGAUAAAAAGGGUUAUCAUAUGACAUGAAAGUGUCCAUUUUCCAAGGAAGAUGUAACUAAUUUAGGGGCACCUAAUAAUGAAGUGUUAAAAGCAAACAUUGUCAAAGCUACAGACAGAAACGGACCGAUUUCGACAUUUUGUUAGGAGGUUUUUAAUAAAACGGCUGAGCUCUGAGUCCUGGCUGUGUGAUAUCUGGCCGUCCCUUAAGCUGUCUGUGAUCCUUGAUGGUAAAAUGGUACCAUAAAGUAAUAAGGGCUUCCUAAUGCUGAGUAAAAUAAAUAGCCUGGGUAAUAUACUUAGCAAAGUAGGGGCAGGAAAUAUGCCAUAAAACGAAGUGUUAUUAUUAUUAUCAUCAUCGUUAUUAUUAUAAUGUUCUUAGUGAAGGGAGCAA